AUGGCGGCGCCCAUCUUUCGGUCCUUUUCCUGGGGCCGUUGGUCUGGUACCCUAAAACUCUCAGUAUUCUUGCCCUUGGGGCUGGCGUAAGGCCCACUCGGGCCCUCAGGGGUUACUGGCAGCGCAGAAGGCUCGAGGUCUGUUCAAGGACUUCUUCCCAGAGACGGGGACGAAAAUAGAGCUCCCAGAGCUCUUCGACCGUGGCACGGCGAGUUUUCCCCAAACCAUUUACUGUGGCUUCGACCCCACGGCGGACUCGCUUCAUGUGGGCCCUCUUCUUGCGCUGCUGGGCCUGUUUCAUUUGCAGCGAGCGGGCCACAACGUGAUCGCGCUGGUGGGAGGCGCCAAGGCGCGCCUGGGAGACCCGAGCGGCCGUACCAAGGAACGCGAGGCGCUGGAGACAGAGCGCGUGCGAGCCAACGCGCGCGCCCUGCGCCUAGGGCUUGAGGCUCUGGUGGCUAAUCACCAGCAGCUUUUCACUGAUGGGCGCUCCUGGGGCAGCUUCACUGUGCUGGACAACUCGGCCUGGUACCAGAAGCAGCACCUGGUGGACUUCCUGGCGGCAGUUGGGGGUCACUUCCGCAUGGGGACGCUGCUGAGCCGGCAGAGCGUGCAGCUGCGGCUCAAGAGCGCGGAGGGCAUGAGCUUGGCCGAAUUAUUUUACCAGGUGCUCCAGGCCUAUGACUUCUAUUACCUCUUCCAGCGUUAUGGAUGCAGGGUCCAGCUGGGCGGAUCUGAUCAGCUAGGCAACAUUAUGUCCGGAUAUGAGUUCAUCAACAAGUUGACUGGAGAAGAUGUAUUUGGAAUCACCGUUCCUCUAAUUACAAGUACAACUGGAGCAAAGCUGGGAAAGUCUGCUGGCAACGGUGUUUGGCUAAACAGAGAUAAGACAUCUCCAUUUGAAUUGUAUCAAUUCUUUGUCAGGCAACCAGAAGAUUCAGUGGAAAGGUACCUGAAGCUGUUUACUUUCCUGCCCCUUCCAGAGAUUGACCAUAUCAUGCAGCUGCAUGUCAAAGAGCCAGAAAGGCGGGGUCCUCAGAAACGACUGGCAGCAGAAGUAACAAAGCUUGUUCAUGGACGAGAAGGAUUGGAUUCUGCUAAAAGGUGUACACAAGCCCUUUAUCAUAGUAGCAUAGAUGCACUGGAGGUCAUGUCUGAUCAGGAGUUAAAAGAGUUGUUUAAAGAAGCUCCUGAUUUUCUGAAUUUUUUCUCGAUCCUGGAACAAGUGUCCUAGAUACCUGCCGCAAAGCAAAUGCCAUUCCAGAUGGUCCCCGAGGGUAUCGAAUGAUAACAGAAGGCGGAGUCAGCAUAAAUCACCGACAAGUAACAAAUGUAUUGUCUAUUAGAAAUGGGGCUAGAUGUCUUAAGGAUUUCUAA